GACGAACGCUGGCGGCGUGCCUAAUACAUGCAAGUAGAACGCAGUGGCGAACGGGUGAGUAACGCGUAGGUACCUGCCUGGUAGCGGGGGAUAACUAUUGGAAACGAUAGGUAAUAACGCAUACUACCAGAUGGACCUGCGUUGUAUUAGCUAGUUGGUGGGGUAACGCCUGACCAAGGCAACGAUACAUAGCCGACCUGAGCGGGUGAUCGGCCACCUUGGGACUCAGACACGGCCCAGCCUCCUACGGAAGGCAGCAGAAGGGAAUCUUCGGCAAUGGACGAAAGCCUGACCGAGCAACGCCGCGUGAGUGAAGAAGGUUUUGGGUCCGUAAAACUCUUUUGUUAGGGAAGCGGUAUCUAACCAGAAAGCCACGGCUAACUACGUGCCAGCCGCCGCGGUAAUUC
rnacentral:rRNA from 1 species